rnacentral:lncRNA from 1 species
UCAACUCAACUAACCAUUCUCUAUCGUCGCCUAAGAUGAGCUCUUCUACUUCAGGUAAACCUUCCUCUCUUACUCAUUCUUUAUCUUAUCAAAGAUUAUCACCCACAUUUCAUGCUUUCACCACUUCAAUCUCUAGUCACACUGAACCAACUACCUAUGAUGAGGCAGUUAAGGACCCUAACUGGCUUGAUGCAAUGGAAACUGAACUCUCUGCCCUUG